CCUACGGGGGGCUGCAGUGGGGAAUAUUGCGCAAUGGUCGGAAGACUGAACCAGCCAUGCCGCGUGCAGGAAGACGGUCCUAUGGAUUGUAAACUGCUUUUGUACGGGAAGAAACACUCCUUCGUGAAGGAGCUUGACGGUACCGUAAGAAUAAGGAUCGGCUAACUCCGUGCCAGCAGCCGCGGUAAUACGGAGGAUCCAGGCGUUAUCCGGUAUCAUUGGGUUUAAGGGGUCCGUAGGCGGUUAGAGUGAAAUCCGGCAGCUUAACUGUCGAACUGCCAUUGAUACUGUUUGACUUGAAUUACUGUGAAGUAACUAGAAUAUGUAGUGUAGCGGUGAAAUGCUUAGAUAUUACAUGGAAUACCAAUUGCGAAGGCAGGUUACUAAUGGUUUAUUGACGCUGAUGGACGAAAGCGUGGGGAGCGAACAGGAUUAGAUACCCCGGUAGUC
rnacentral:rRNA from 1 species